rnacentral:tmRNA from 1 species
GGGGGCGAUAUGGUUUCGACGGAGGAUAAGAACGAAAAAUAGCACGCCGUGGGUUUGAGUCACCGCGUCAAAAAGGCUCAAAAAAACAAAAAUGCCAACAAUAAUGUUGCAUCCGUAGCUGCCUUCGCUUAAUAACCGAUAGGAAGCUCCAUCGCCUUGCUGCCUCGUCUGAGCGGUGAGGGUCGAUGCACCGAUCAGGCUGGCCUUUCUUUUUUUCUUGGGGUUUAAAGAAUGGCGAGGAGAUAACCAAGAGCGCGAUGAACCGCCGGUCUUUAGGCUAAGUUCGGAGUGAUAACAAGUAAAGACUAAGCGUGUAGAAGUUUUUUGGGGCGAUUUUUCGGACGCGGGUUCAAUUCCCGCCGCCUCCACCA